UCCGAGUUGACCCCGGCAGUCUCCUAUGAGUCCCCACCAUUACGUGCUGGCAACAUAGAACGAGGGUUGCGCUCGUUGCGGGACUUAACCCAACAUCUCACGACACGAGCUGACGACAACCAUGCACCACCUGUGCACCGACCUUGCGGGGCACCCAUCUCUGGGUGUUUCCGGUGCAUGUCAAGCCUUGGUAAGGUUCUUCGCGUUGCAUCGAAUUAAUCCGCAUGCUCCGCCGCUUGUGCGGGCCCCCGUCAAUUCCUUUGAGUUUUAGCCUUGCGGCCGUACUCCCCAGGCGGGGCGCUUAAUGCGUUAGCUGCGGCACGGAGGACGUGGAAUGUCCCCCACACCUAGCGCCCGACGUUUACGGCAUGGACUAC
rnacentral:misc_RNA from 1 species